CUCUUCACCAGGUGCCCACAAACGAUGCACUCAUGCUGGCGGCCACCGCGCGGACAAUCGCCAGGCGAAGAGCUAAAUAAGUCCGACUCCAAACACUCCCCACACACGGCAAAACUACGGAUCACAGGUCUCCGGGCAGAGAAAGGCUGUGGCGAAGUUUUACAAGUUUCCACCGAUCCAGUGGGGGCUCCGGAGAAGCUCCCUUGACGGCGGCUCAUUAGACACCCAGCUCGCGCGAGCAUUGUGGUUUUAAGUUGUCGGGAGGAGCCCAGGCAUGGGGAAAGGGAUUCUGGUGCCCCGGACUCAGCCAGUCACACUGUGCGUCCGGCAUGUGAAGGAACCGCACUGGAAAAGUGGACCAGUGGUGCCAGCAGCGACCAGGAUUAAACGUCUAGCGCAGUCUGGAUAAAGCUCCCUUAAAGGUCCUACAGUUUGGGAAGAUUGUCUUCCAUCAUCCCGUCUGUUGUCUUUGCGCAAAGCUUUGAGACUGGGAUAUCCUACCAAGCUGAGCUGACUGCUGAUUUCCAUGGGAUGUUGAGACCAGCGUGGGCCUAGGGACUGACAUGACAUUGGCAGGCAACUCAGACUCCUCAACUUAGUUUAUUAACUUUGACCCUCCUCAUUAAAAUUUAAUGUGGAUAAAAGAUAUUAAACAAGUUAACGUCCUUUCUUUUCUCACCCAUCCUCACAGGUAAAGAUACCUAGUGAGCAGAUAAAUGAUCAAAAACCCAGCAAGAGUGAGGCACUAGCAGUGUGGGGCCUUCAUUAGGCAAAGGAACAAAAAAUCCGCCUGUUAAUUUUGCAGUUAACAAUUAGCAGAUGAAUUUAAGCAUAUCGAGCACAGGGCAUUUCCUAACUCGAAACAUAUUUCCGAACUGAAGCAGCCUUUGGUGGAGGGGGGCUAGUGAUGUAUCACUUUGGUGAAUCUGUUAGUUGAGAGUUGAUCCUUCUUUUGCUCUGAAGAGUAAACCCCUAAUCCAGCAUUUUAUAACUAAUGUCACAAGGAAGCUCCAGUAUGACCAUAUGAAUCAUAAUCAUACUGACAAGUGUUGCUAAUUGAAACAUUAAAAAAAAAUUGAGAUUCAAAAGUUUGCUUUUUCUCUGAAAAUAAUUUAUCCUGGAUUUAGAACACUACUGAUUUUUCCUGUUAGUUUGUUUGGGUAACACAUGAUUUCAUUUGCUCAGGAACCACAAUUGUACUUUAAAAUGUUAAGUUCUUUGAGUUAUUAUGGGUGUUAACACUGUGCAUACACAUUUAAAAAUCUUUAUGAAUAGUCUGAUUUUUCUACCAUAAAUGGAUU